GACGAACGCUGGCGGCGUGCUUAACACAUGCAAGUCGAACGGAAAGGCCCUGCUUUUGUGGGGUGCUCGAGUGGCGAACGGGUGAGUAACACGUGAGUAACCUGCCCUUGACUUUGGGAUAACUUCAGGAAACUGGGGCUAAUACCGGAUAGGAGCUCCUGCUGCAUGGUGGGGGUUGGAAAGUUUCGGCGGUUGGGGAUGGACUCGCGGCUGAUCAGCUUGUUGGUGGGGUAGUGGCUUACCAAGGCUUUGACGGGUAGCCGGCCUGAGAGGGUGACCGGCCACAUUGGGACUGAGAUACGGCCCAGACUCCUACGGGAGGCAGCAGUGGGGGUUAUUGCACAAUGGGCGGAAGCCUGAUGCAGCAACGCCGCGUGCGGGAUGACGGCCUUCGGGUUGUAAACCGCUUUCGCCUGUGACGAAGCGUGAGUGACGGUAAUGGGUAAAGAAGCACCGGCUAACUACGUG
rnacentral:rRNA from 1 species